GCAUGAAGCCCCCCUCAAGAUGAGAUUUCCCAUAGCGCAAGCUAGUAAGAACCCUGAAAGAUGAUCAGGUUGAUAGGUCAGAGGUGGAAGCGUGGUAACAUGUGGAGCUGACUGAUACUAAUCGUUCGAGGACUUAACCAA
rnacentral:rRNA from 1 species